AGAGUUUGAUCCUGGCUCAGGAUGACCUUUGGCGGCGCGCUUAACACAUGCAAGUCGAACGGAGUUGUGAUGUGAGCGGGAGGUGCUUGCACCGAACAAUCUUUUCACAACUUAGUGGCGGACGGGUGAGUAACGCGUGGGUAACCUGCCAUAUACAGGGGGAUAACACUUAGAAAUAGGUGCUAAUACCGCAUAAGCGCACAGUAUCGCAUGAUACAGUGUGAAAAACUCCGGUGGUAUAUGAUGGACCCGCGUCUGAUUAGGUAGUUGGUGAGGUAACGGCUCACCAAGUCGACGAUCAGUAGCCGACCUGAGAGGGUGAUCGGCCACAUUGGAACUGAGACACGGUCCAGACUCCUACGGGAGGCAGCAGUGGGGAAUAUUGGGCAAUGGGCGAAAGCCUGACCCAGCAACGCCGCGUGAGGGAAGAAGGGUUUCGGCUCGUAAACCUCUGUCCUAUGGGACGAAGAAGUGACGGUACCAUAGGAGGAAGCCCCGGCUAACUACGUGCCAGCAGCCGCGGUAAUACGUAGGUGGCGAGCGUUAUCUGGAUUUACUGGGUGUAAAGGGAGCGUAGACGGCGAUGCAAGUCUGGAGUGAAAGCCCGGGGCUCAACCCCGGGACUGCUUUGGAAACUGUAUAGCUAGAGUGCAGGAGAGGUAAGUGGAAUUCCUAGUGUAGCGGUGAAAUGCGUAGAUAUUAGGAGGAACACCAGUGGCGAAGGCGGCUUACUGGACUGUAACUGACGUUGAGGCUCGAAAGCGUGGGGAGCAAACAGGAUUAGAUACCCUGGUAGUCCACGCCGUAAACGA
rnacentral:rRNA from 1 species